UACGGCUAUAUAACGUUGAAACACCGGUUCCUGUACGAUCACCGAAGUUAAGCAAUGUCGAGCCUAGUCAGUACCUAGAUGGGUGACCGCUUAGGAUUGCCAUGUGCUGUAA